rnacentral:rRNA from 1 species
GACGAAGGGGGGCUAGCGUUGUUCGGAAUUACUGGGCGUAAAGCGCGUGUAGGCGGCCCUGCAAGUCGGAUGUGAAAUCCCACGGCUCAACCGUGGAAGUGCAUUCGAAACUGCAGGGCUAGAGUCCUGGAGAGGAAGGUGGAAUGCUUGGUGUAGAGGUGAAAUUCGUAGAUAUCAAGCGGAACACCGGUGGCGAAGGCGGCCUCUGGACAGUGACUGACGCAUGAG